CAGCUGUGUACUGAGCACAUAGCUAACUAUUUUUUCGCCUUUUACUAAUGAAUACCGUGUGUUCCCUGCAAUUCAAGCAUCAUACGCUCUUUUUUUAAGGGUUAAUUUUCUUGUAAGAAAUU
rnacentral:snRNA from 1 species